CACCUUGCAAAUCUUAAUAGUUGAUUGUAGUUGAUCUGAGUUUCUAGAUCACUGAGCUAACUUUGUUACUGAAUGUAUUCUCUUUUUGUUAUGCUCAGCUGUAAGCUCUUUCUAUAAAAAAAUAAAUGAUUUCUUCAUCUAUUUGGUUCUUACUCAUUAUUAACUUCACGUAAUGAUUUUGGGGGUGAUAAUAAGGACUGAAGUCCCUCUUAAUUUGUAGGUUGAUGACCCCUAUAGGGAUCCCUACACAACCCCUAUUUAGCUCUUACACAACCCCUACUCAGCCCCUACACAACCCCUACAUCACCUCUAAUUGGCAGUCCGUACAACCCCUACAAGAAGUGUCACUU
rnacentral:lncRNA from 1 species